UACGUAGGUGGCAAGCGUUGUCCGGAUUUACUGGGUGUAAAGGGUGUGUAGGCGGGAAUGCAAGUCAGAUGUGAAAUGCCGUGGCUUAACCACGGAGCUGCAUUUGAAACUGUGUUUCUUGAGUAGAGGAGAGGUAAGUGGAAUUCCCAGUGUAGCGGUGAAAUGCGUAGAUAUUGGGAGGAACACCAGUGGCGAAGGCGGCUUACUGGACUCUAACUGACGCUGAGGCACGAAAGCGUGGGGAGCAAACAGGAUUAGAUACC
rnacentral:rRNA from 1 species